UCGUCAGCUCGUGUCGUGAGAUGUUGGGUUAAGUCCCGCAACGAGCGCAACCCUCGUUCUAUGUUGCCAGCACGUAGUGGUGGGGACUCAUAGGAGACUGCCGGGGUCAACUCGGAGGAAGGUGGGGAUGACGUCAAAUCAUCAUGCCCCUUAUGUCUUGGGCUUCACGCAUGCUACAAUGGCCAGUACAAAGGGCUGCGAUACCGCAAGGUGGAGCGAAUCCCAAAAAACUGGUCUCAGUUCGGAUUGGGGUCUGCAACUCGACCCCAUGAAGUCGGAGUCGCUAGUAAUCGCAGAUCAGCAACGCUGCGGUGAAUACGUUCCCGGGCCUUGUACACACCGCCCGUCAAGUCACGAAAGUCGGUAACACCCGAAGCCGGUGGCCUAACCCUUUGGGGAGGAGCCGUCGAAGGUGGGACUGGCGAUUGGGACUAAGUCGUAACAAGGUAGCCGUACCGGAAGGUGCGGCUGGAUCACCUCCUUUCUAAGGAGCACUGGCACCUUGAGCUUGUUGUGGUCCUUUUUUGGGGUUGCGGCGGGUUCGUUUUGGUGUCCAGGUGGCCUGUCCAUGGCUGUUCGUGGUUGUGGGGGUUGCUCAAGGGUGGAACAUCGAUUAGUUGGCGUUGCUCGCUGUGGUGGCGGUCGUUGGUACUGGCUUUUCCUUUGGGGAGGGUUGUGGAAGGCGGCGCAUCGGGUGGGUGGUGUUUGGCACGCUGUUGGGUCCUGAAGGCUCGGGCGUUGUGCUCGGUUCUUCAGUGUGGCCCUGCCUUGUUGGUCGUACCGCUUGUGUCCUGUGGUGGAUGUGGGUUGGCGGCCGUGUGUGGGUGGGGUCCGCCCGUAUUUUGAGAACUACACAGUGGACGCGAGCAUCUUUGUGGCCAAGUUUUUAAGGGCGCACGGUGGAUGCCUUGGUACCAGGAACCGAAGAAGGACGUAGGAAUCUGCGAUAAGCCACGGGGAGUCGAUAACCAGACUGUGAUCCGUGGAUUUCCGAAUGGGGAAACCCGG
rnacentral:sRNA from 1 species